rnacentral:rRNA from 1 species
UACAGAGGGGGCAAGCGUUGUUCGGAAUUACUGGGCGUAAAGGGCGCGUAGGCGGCCUUCUAAGUCGAACGUGAAAUCCCCGGGCUCAACCCGGGAACUGCGUCCGAUACUGGAAGGCUUGAAUCCGGGAGAGGGAUGCGGAAUUCCAGGUGUAGCGGUGAAAUGCGUAGAUAUCUGGAGGAAUACCGGUGGCGAAGGCGGCAUCCUGGACCGACAUUGACGCUGAACGGCGAAAGCUAGGGGAGCAAACGGG